CCACAGUCUCUUUGGUUUGGACCGCUAUACAGGACAGAUCAGAACACUUCGCUCAUUCACAGAGACGGACGAGGCUGAGCAUAAACUGCUCAUACUGGUGAAAGACAAUGGCAACGUUUCCCUGUCAGCAACAGCUACUGUGGUUGUUAAACUUGUGGAGCCCAGAGAGGCUUUUGCUGCUGCUGAUGUUAAAAGUGCAACAAAGGAUGAUGAGGAUAAUAAUGUGACUUUUUACCUGAUGAUAACUUUGGGCUCAGUCUCAACACUUUUUCUCAUCAGUAUCAUCGUGCUGAUUGCAAUGCAGUGCUCUAAGUCCACAGACUAUACUUCUAAAUAUCUACAAGAGACUAACUAUGAUGGGACACUGUGUCACAGCAUCCAGUACAGAUCUGGAGACAAGCGCUACAUGUUAGUUGGACCCAGAAUGAGUAUAGGAUCAACUAUAGUCCCGGGCAGCCAUGCCAACACACUGGUGCUCCCUGACAGGAGGGGAACAUCUACAGAGAGAUCAGAACAGAUGUAGGUCUGCACUUGUUUGGCAUCGGUGCUCAUACAGCCACAACAUCUGCUGCUGUGCUUAGGUCAUCAGCGCUUGCCUGGAGGAUUGAACAGAGUGAGCAGCCAUUGCAAGGCUGCAAGCAAGACAGACUGCUAUUAAGUGGAAAACAAGUGAGGACCCAGUUGUUUGAAAAUCCCCUUAAAGGUCACACUGAUGAGAACCUAAAAGCAUCCUAAGUCCUGAGAUCUAGAUUUAUGUAGGGGAUUGUGAUCUCUGAUUGAUAACAUCUAUUAAUGGGUGAGGGAAAUCCAGAUCAGCAGUUUAGACAUUGGAUGCAGUCUACGUAAGAGGAUUGUCUUCUUACAGCAGUAUCCUGCACCGCUCACUGUGGAGUAGAGGGGGUAUAAGGCCACAGUUGCCAUACAUAUGUCUGCUUAAAUACCGUAUGUUGUAUUUAUUACUGGCAAUGCAUGGAUGGGAUCAGAUGUUAGCUAUUAAAUGUAUCCAGUCUCUAACGGCAGGCCUCCUCAUCCCCCGGUGACCUUUUACCCCCAGACUAAUGCCCGUAUUAAGCAUCUUGUGUAAUUUCCUCACCUUGUUUUAAGCUGAAUUGUAUUUCUCUGAACGUUGCACGUUUCUGUUUAUAAAUCUUAAUAGUGUUUGUUUAGUUACAAGUCUUUUUAAAAAAAAACAAUAAUGUCUGAAAACUGCUGAACAACUUGAUAUUUAUUUCCAAGUAUGUUGAAUUAGUUAUAUACGUGUUCAUCAAGUGGCCUGGUUUUGUAGUAUGAUUAAUAAACCAUGAAAACAUUGUCAGCGUUGUAUUCACAAAAAUAUAAAUGUGUUGAUCUGUGGUCUUGAUUGUUCUAGUAUGUUUCAAUAGUUGUAUAUAGAGAGAUCUGGUCUGAGCAUAACUUGCCUAUGAGAGCUAACACUGAUAUGUAUUUCAUGUAAAGAGCACAUUGCUUCUGUAGGUUCAACAUAACUGAACAUGUGGGGGUUUCAGCAAUUGCAUGACCCUGUAGCAAGAUUGUACAACAAGGCAGUUUAAUAAAAGCAAUGAUAUGCAUUUCAAAUGAAAUGCAAAAGCAUAAAUAUGUGGUCAGUAUUGUAUUUAUAUAAGUCACAGUGUGUGUUCAAGUGAUAUUGAUACUGUUAUGUAAAGGGAAGCCUGUUUUU